rnacentral:misc_RNA from 1 species
UCCGGCUUAUCACCGGCAGUCCCACUAGAGUGCCCAACUAAAUGCUGGCAACUAGUGGCGAGGGUUGCGCUCGUUGCGGGACUUAACCCAACAUCUCACGACACGAGCUGACGACAGCCAUGCAGCACCUGUGUUCAGGUUCCCUUUCGGGCACCUCUGCAUUUCUGCAGAGUUCCUGACGUGUCAAGGGUAGGUAAGGUUCUUCGCGUUGCAUCGAAUUGAACCACAUGCUCCACCGCUUGUGCGGGUCCCCGUCAAUUCCUUUGAGUUUUAACCUUGCGGCCGUACUCCCCAGGCGGUCAACUUCACGCGUUAGCUUCGUUACCAAGGAAUAACUUCCCCGACAACCAGUUGACAUCGUUUAGGGCGUGGACUAC